rnacentral:rRNA from 1 species
UACGGGGGGGGCAAGUGUUGUUCGGAAUUACUGGGCGUAAAGGGUUCGUAGGUGGCCAACUAAGUCAGACGUGAAAUCCCUCAGCUUAACUGGGGAACUGCGUCUGAUACUGGUUGGCUUGAGUGCAGGAGAGGAACGCGGAAUUCCAGGUGUAGCGGUGAAAUGCGUAGAUAUCUGGAGGAACACCGGUGGCGAAGGCGGCGUUCUGGACUGCAACUGACACUGAGGAACGAAAGCCAGGGUAGCAAACGGG